UACAUAGGGGGCAAGCGUUAUCCGGAUUUACUGGGUGUAAAGGGUGCGUAGGCGGCAGUAUAAGUCAGGUGUGAAAACCCGAGGCUCAACCUCGGGACUGCACUUGAAACUAUACAGCUAGAGUACAGGAGAGGUAAGCGGAAUUCCUAGUGUAGCGGUGAAAUGCGUAGAUAUUAGGAAGAACACCAGUGGCGAAGGCGGCUUACUGGACUGAAACUGACGCUGAGGCACGAAAGCGUGGGGAGCGAACAGG
rnacentral:rRNA from 1 species